rnacentral:siRNA from 1 species
GACAUGGUCUUUAUUGGGCAUGGA